UACGCUGCAUCACGCAAUGGUGCUUUUCGGUUGCAGCUAGCAACCAGAGAGCUAAGAGGGAAACCGGUGCAAGCCGGUGCUGCCCCCGCAACUGUAAGCUGAGAGGAUGUGCGGCAUUCAUGCCACUCUCCAUGCCAUGCAUGGGGGGGAAGGCGCUGCACACGCCGAGGACCAGCAAGCCAGGAGACCUGCCAUUGCCCCAAAGUCACG
rnacentral:ncRNA from 2 species